GACAGAGGGUGCAAACGUUGCUCGGAAUCACUGGGCGUAAAGGGCGUGUAGGCGGGAGAGAAAGUCGGGCGUGAAAUCCCUAGGCUCAACCUAGGAACUGCACUCGAAACUUCUUUUCUUGAGUGCCGGAGAGGAAAGCGGAAUACCUGGUGUAGAGGUGAAAUUCGUAGAUAUCAGGUGGAACACCAGUGGCGAAGGCGGCGAUCUGGGAAGAUACUGACGCUGAGGUGCGAAAGCGUGGGGAGCAAACAGG
rnacentral:rRNA from 1 species